CUGCGGGCUGCUACCAUGCAGUCGAUCGGCAGCAUGAGUAGGGGUAACCUUACUUGAUGGCGAGUGGCGGACGGGUGAGGAAUAUGUAGGAAUCUACCUAGAGGAGGGGGAUAACUUGGGGAAACCCACCCUAAUACCACAUAAGCCCUACGGGGGAAAGCAGGGGAUCGAAAGACCUUGCGCCUUAUGAUGAGCCUUUUCGGAUUGGCUAGUUGGUGGGGUAAAGGCCUACCGAUGCGACGAUCCGUAGCUGGUCUGAUAGGAUGAUCAGCCACACUGGGACUGACACACGGCCCACACUCCUACGGGAGGCAGCAUUGGGGAAUAUGGGACAAUGCGCGAUCCCCUGAUCCCGCAAUGCCGCGUGUGGGAAGAAGGCCUUAAGGUUGUAAAGCACUUUCCGUAGGGAGGAAGGUUGUAAUGCUAAUAUCAUUGCUUAUUGACGUUACCUACCAAAGAAGCACCGGCUAACUCUGUGCCCGCAGCCGCGGAAAUACAGAGGGUGCUACCGUUAUUCUGAAUUACUGGGCCUAAAGCGUGUGUUGGUGGUUAGAUAAGUUAGAUGUGAAAUCCCCGGGCUUAACCUGGGCAUUGCCUUUCUUACUGUUUAACUGGAGUACUGUAUAGGAUAGCGGAAUUUCCAGUGAAAUGCUGAAAUGCCUAAAUAUUGGAAGGAACACCAGUGGACAUCGCGACUAUCUGGACACAUACUGACGCUGAGACACGAAAGCCUGAGGAGCUUACAUGAUUAGAUACUCUGCUAGUCCAUGCUGUACACUAUGAUGACUUGCUGUUGGAUGCAUAGGGGCCUUAACUAACGAAUCUAACGCGUUAACUGCUCCGCCUGGGGGAGUACGGCCACAAGGCUAAGACUCGAAGGAAUCGACGG
rnacentral:rRNA from 1 species